GAGUGAUGGCUCAGUGGUUAAGAGCACUGGCUGCUCUUCCAGAGGACCUGGGUUCAAUUCCCAACACUCA
rnacentral:tRNA from 1 species